CCGAGUUUACAACUCCCAAACCCAAUGUGAACAUACCCCAAUGUUGCCUCGGCGGGACCGCCCCGGCGCCCUCACCGGCCCGGAACCAGGCGCCCGCCGCAGGACCCAAACCUCUGUUUUACUUUAUGUAUUCUCCUCUGAGUGGAUUUUACAAAUAAAUCA
rnacentral:misc_RNA from 1 species